CCAGAGGCCCAUCGGCAGCUUUUGUUGCCUCUUGGUUGGCCCAUCAGCCCAAGGAAACUCAGCCCAUCAUCAAUUAGAAUUGAAGCCUAGCAAUUUGGCUUAUUUCAGCCCAAAGAGAGAGCCCAUUUUCAGUUUAAUUCUGGCCCAGCAAGCAGCCCACAAUUCAAUAUUUUCAAGCCCAAGUGAUUAAAGAAGUCAGCCCAAUCUUGAAGUCCAAAGUUUCUUCGGGCUUGCGAAGUUCUUAGCCCGGCCC
rnacentral:lncRNA from 1 species